AUGAAGAGUGGACUCCUUCUGGAUGUUGUAGUCGGAGAGAGUGCGACCAUCUUCCAGCUGCUUGCCAGCGAAGAUCAGACGCUGCUGGUCUGGGGGGAUGUUGUAGUCAGAGAGCGUGCGACCAUCUUCCAGCUGCUUGCCAGCAAAGAUCAGACGCUGCUGGUCUGGGGGGAUGCCCUCCUUGUCCUGGAUCUUGGCCUUGACAUUCUCGAUGGUGUCACUCGGCUCAACCUCCAGGGUGAUGGUCUUACCAGUCAGGGUCUUCACGAAGAUCUGCAUACCUCCCCUCAGACGGAGCACAAGAUGGAGUGUGGACUCCUUCUGGAUGUUGUAGUCGGAGAGAGUGCGACCAUCUUCCAGCUGCUUGCCAGCGAAGAUCAGACGCUGCUGGUCUGGGGGGAUGCCCUCCUUGUCCUGGAUCUUGGCCUUGACAUUCUCGAUGGUGUCACUGGGCUCCACCUCUAGGGUGAUGGUCUUGCCAGUAAGGGUCUUCACAAAGAUCUGCAUACCUCCCCUCAGACGGAGCACAAGAUGGAGGGUGGACUCCUUCUGGAUGUUGUAGUCGGAGAGAGUGCGACCAUCUUCCAGCUGCUUGCCAGCGAAGAUCAGACGCUGCUGGUCUGGGGGGAUGCCCUCCUUGUCCUGGAUCUUGGCCUUGACAUUCUCGAUGGUGUCACUGGGCUCGACCUCUAGGGUGAUGGUCUUUCCGGUAAGUGUCUUCACGAAGAUCUGCAUCUUGACACUAAGGAAGAUAAAAUAUAUAUUAGACUAAACUGCUCCCAAGACUAAAAGCAAUUAAAAUUUAACAGGCUAGACAAUUCAAACUAGGUCUCAAUCUAGUUCAUAUCAACUUCGUGGGCGAAUUUCUAAAUAGGGCAGCGCAGAAAGCCUCCCAUUGGGGGCAGUACUCAGCUGACGUUGACAUUAGCAGGCUCCAGGUGCCACCAUUUUAGAACAAUCUUGGGUCGUCACUUUUUAACACGCCACAUAGCCCUAAACCCCGCCUAUUGCUAAAAUGUAUCUUCAAAUCUGAUAGUCGUCAAGUACGGACAAGCUCGUUGAUCAUUUGGAAAUUCUAUGGAACAGCCAUCUCAUUUGUCGUCGACACGUAUUUAACGUUCUCCUGUUAACAAAUUAAUGUUACAUAAUUCUAACAUUAGGCCUAAUUGAAAUUAAGUUAAUCUAAUGCCCGUUCAGCCGAAUAAGAGAUCGUAGCAAGUUGGGUUUAGUUCACGAGCUGUGCCUCACACUAAGCUAGUCACUUACUGUAUUUGAAUGGCGCCUCAAAUAAACGUUAACUAAAUUGCUAGCUAAGUCGAAUGAAGGUUAAGGCUAUCAAUAGUAAAUAAUCAUACGGUUGCACACCUUUUUUAAACUAGCCAAUUUAACACCAUACAGUCAACUUUAUUUUCUACUUAAACAAGCUAGUUGUAGUAGCUAACGUAAACUAGAAAAUUAGCUGGUCUGACCAGAUAACGUAACAGCAACGUUAGCUAGCGUCGACGUUUGCUUGUACAUACACAAUACGAACGGAAAAGCAUCGCGCUACAAAUAUACACCAAGCUGAAUGAAAUGUUUGAAAAAUGUUUAGUCAUUCGUGCUUAUUUUUGGAUAAUACCCUACUUACAGAAAAAAUGAUCCACUGUACUUUCUGCCUCUGUCUUCAGGAAACCAGUCUGUUAUCGCAAACAAAGGGCUGUGGUAUUUAUACCUUACCGUCACGUAUCCUUCCGCCGUUACACCCAUGUCGAACUAUAAACUGCGGAUUCGAUAAAUAUCCGUUAUCAUAUGGAUUCUUUUGGAUGAAGGGACAAAAUCUACGACAUACCACAGUAAAAACGUUUUAUAUCAAAGUUAAUUUUUAACUCGAAGUACCUGUGUAGGAAUGGACGGUCGGAUAAAAGAAGUCGAUCGUUGGGCGGAGAUAGAAAUUAGCAAAAAUAGUGAUUCGUCGUUCUCUAGCAACAAGCUGCUCAGUCAACACGAAACUAGUCGGCCUCGGGCAGUAUCAACCUUGCCAGCUAUCUAGUCAAAUUGGUUUAUGUGUUGGCUAUGUCAGUAAAGCCUCAAACUUUACUUUUUGAGUAAGCAUAGUUUUGCUACAUUUACAAGCAUCAACAUAUUAGGAUCUCUCCCAGAGAAUAUUUUUUGGGGUGCAUAGAAUACUGUAUUAUUUAAUUUCAUGCAACACAGAUGUGGACGGUUUAUUUCAGGGCAUCAAUGUGAUUUUAUAGAAAUUGCAUUAACAGAUGGAACAACAUUUUUAUUCUACACAAACAGGAAAGGCCAUUUCCCUCCAAGCCAGACUCCUUCCUAAGCUCUACCAGCAGAUUUAGCACUUAUUCAGAUCUAUGAGGUCUAGAGAACAAGCGUGGGUGUCCCUUUUGACUUAGUGCUGAGUCAGCAGACUUUUGGUUGACGUUGUUGUCUUUCCAAAGAGAGGUCAUACUGACCAUUGUUCCAGACGCUGACACUUUGUAUCUGUGAACCAUUCAUGGACGUCUAAAGAAGGAAGUAGACAGAACCAACGUUGAUUAGUUCUGUAGUAGAAACAGUCAAUAAACAGUAAUCUAGACAUUGAGGAUUGGUGGUUCUUCUGAUAGACUAACCAGGGCCGUCCUUUCAUAUGUAGGCCUGUUACAGGAGUUUUAAAGUCUCCCCUUGAUCUAAACUUAUCAGAGAGAGGACAUGAGGUUUACAUCAGCAAAACCAUGUGUGUGUGACCUUACCCUCUGUGUGUUGUUGUGGACCUGUGGGUCAGGCUGUCCGUAGUUAGGUGGCUUGGCUCUGGGGUGGCAGCCUAGUCUCCCGAUAGCAUCCAUGUCUGCCACUACGUCUGGGGGGAUGUGACCUACCCACUGAGUCAUAGCCUUCACGUUCACUGGCCUCAUCACCUGGUCUGUGGACGUGCUGACACGCACGCACGCACACACACACACACACACACACACACACACACACACACACACACACACACACACACACACACACACACACACACACACCCUAAACCUAACCCCUUACUCUAAUUUUUAAUUGUAACCUUAAACCUAACCCCUAAGCUUAAAAUAGCCUUUGUCCCCAUGGGGAUGUGGGAAAUGUCCCCACGAAGGAGAAUUUUCCUUGUUUUACUAUCCUUGUGGUGACUUUGGGGGAUUUUAGGUCCACACAAGGAUAAAAGGACCCCCCACACCACACCACACAGCAGGGUGGGCAUCCAGCCCGGCUCUACACACAGUGGGAAAUAAGACAGAGAUCAAAAUGACAGGGUACAGAGGUAAAUACCUAUUUUGGGGGUUAUAAUAAUACAAGUACAUGGGUAAAUACAAGUAAAUAAAUACUCUCCCCCUGCUCUCUCUUGAUGUACCUCAUCACGGUGGCUUCCCGGAGUGAGGUACCCCUCCCAUAAACACCAGAGGAGCAUCAGCACUGACCCUCCACCUGCCCUGGACCGGCACAGUCACAGGUCUACCACCACCCUGGAACGGCCGCCGGCAGGGCAGACAGAAACGCCGGAACUGGGUCAGGGUAUAGAGUCCACCCAAGAUCAGGACCCCUGUUAAUCCCAUCCGUGCUGACACACGCAUCACCGAUGGAGAUGGUGGUGCUUGGUCAUGGUCUCUUGGUCACAAGUAGUAGGCCACCUGUGUGCGCUGCUUUUUUGACGAGGUCUUUCUUGUAAAAGAGACGUUUUAGUUUCAGUGAGACUAACCUUGGUGAAAUGUACAGAGAGAGGUACUUUCUGGAAUAGAGGGAGAGAAACAAGACCGAGGGAGAUUUUAUUUCUCAUAUUCAUACAGAAACAAACUCUCUCUUCUGUCAACACUGCAGAACAGGAGUGUUUAUCUGAGAUGAAACUAUUAUGGCAGGUCCCUCCGAAUGUCCACUUCCCUCUCCUCAUAUCUCUGAAAAUAAAAGCCUGGAAAUGUUUUUUUGUUUCACAACAGAAAUCUUACAACACACCUAGAACUAUUCCUGCAGAGGGGAAAUCUUUCCUUGGCAUAGAUGGAAAAGUUUUGUUUAAAUCUAUGCAAAUAUAAAGGAUAAUGGUAAUGCAGCAAAUUCAAACAAACCUCUUGUCCUGACUCUUUCUGUGUUGCGUUAGAGUUAAUACUAUAUUAUUAUUCAUCGAGUCAGUGCCUGUCAGUAACUGUGAAACGCAAACUUCACAAGGUCUUAUCAGGCAUUCUAGAACCUUCGCUGUUACUCCAGUGAUCAAGGUCAGAAUUAGAAGCGAUAUGCAGCUAGACAAACCAACAGAGUGAUAAAGGGAGAGAGAGGGAAGGUGGAGGGGACAGAGAGCGAGAGAGGGAUUGCAAGUGAAAGAGAUACCAACAAGCAAGAAAAAGGUCAAAUGAAAGUAGGCUUCAUGCUAUAAAACAUUGACAUGAGAGAUACGUUUGCCGCGCCUUAACGGACGUAAGAGGAAGUUGAACUGUGGUUGAAUUACUUUGACGGUGAAGGCUGGCGCGGAACAGAGUGACUUAGAAAAGGACAGAAGUAAGAAUGAAGAGGGGUAAGAGAGGAGAGGUUGAAGCAUUUUUCAGGACUGAUUUCUCUGACCCACUAGACCUUAUCCUGUUUUAUAUGUACACUAUAGGACAGAAGUCACCAUGGCAACUUCCAUUUUGAUUGAAAUGUCAUUUGAAGGAAAAUCUCCCCUGACCCUACAUUAAAAACACAUACAGUAGCUCAUAUACUUGCUCCAUUGUUCUGAGGCUUAGGGUAUGGCUUUUUGUUGUUGACGCUCGACCAUCUUGUCUACUUUGUGUUGCACUACUGAGUCAAGCCUGCCUUUACAUCCUGAGGGCUUUGUAUGACUCUGACACCCUCUCUGUUCAGCUGUUUUGUUGGGUAAUUACACAUAUGCCCUCGCAGACAGACAAAUACACACACACAGUUGUUUUCACAACUGUUAAGUGUUUAGUACCUGCUUUCGCAAAAGUAACUUUUCAUUUGUGAAUAGCAGCAAUAGGCAUUGAAACAGAAAGCAACUUCGUUUUUGAGGCUGUUGUCUACUGAGGGGGAACAAAGCUGUUGAGUCAGAAUGAAAGUAAACCAGUUCCAACAGCUCUGUCACCUCUGGUGUGUGAGAGAUUGUGGUAAAGGAUCUUCACACACGAACAUGACAAAUAGCACGUUUGAUCGCCAGACAGCCUUCCUGUGCCAUGAAGUGACUGGAAGUGCACACAAAAAAGUCCAGUGUCUGGAAUGGAUCCAGUUCUUUUACCUACCAGACUGUGUUCUUGAAGGAAAGGCGACUAGGAGCUGUGAUGGAGAAUCGAGACAUAGCCUGUGUGUGCGUGCGCGUGUGUAUGGAUAUACUGUUG
rnacentral:lncRNA from 1 species